rnacentral:rRNA from 1 species
ACUGUUUCGGCUAGGGGGCCAUCCCGGCUUACCAACCCGAUGCAAACUGCGAAUACCGGAGAAUGUUAUCACGGGAGACACACGGCGGGUGCUAACGUCCGUCGUGAAGAGGGAAACAACCCAGACCGCCAGCUAAGGUCCCAAAGUCAUGGUUAAGUGGGAAACGAUGUGGGAAGGCCCAGACAGCCAGGAUGUUGGCUUAGAAGCAGCCAUCAUUUAAAGAAAGCGUAAUAGCUCACUGGUCGAGUCGGCCUGCGCGGAAGAUGUAACGGGGCUAAACCAUGCACCGAAGCUGCGGCAGCGACACUCAGGUGUUGUUGGGUAGGGGAGCGUUCUGUAAGCCUGUGAAGGUGGCCUGUGAGGGUUGCUGGAGGUAUCAGAAGUGCGAAUGCUGACAUAAGUAACGAUAAAGCGGGUGAAAAGCCCGCUCGCCGGAAGACCAAGGGUUCCUGUCCAACGUUAAUCGGGGCAGGGUGAGUCGACCCCUAAGGCGAGGCCGAAAGGCGUAGUCGAUGGGAAACGGGUUAAUAUUCCCGUACUUGGUGUUACUGCGAAGGGGGGACGGAGAAGGCUAUGUUGGCCGGGCGACGGUU